rnacentral:antisense_RNA from 1 species
CUUGAUGGAGCCGAGCCACAGCGGCCGCUCGCCGGGCCGCUCCUGCCCGUACGUGGCCAGCAGGGCCUGCGCCUC